GGGCGAUUAGCUCAGUUGGCCAGAGCAUCGCGUUUACACCGCGAGGGUCGUAGGUUCGAGUCCUACAUCGCCCACCA
rnacentral:tRNA from 1 species